rnacentral:sRNA from 1 species
GUACAUCCGCUCGGAGCGUUCUGUCAUCCUCAUCAACUUCUGCCUGUCCAUCAUCUCCUCCAAUGCCCUCAUCCUCAUCGGGCAGACCCAGACCCGCAACAAGGUGGUGUGCACGCUGGUGGCCGCCUUCCUGCACUUCUUCUUCCUGUCCUCCUUCUGCUGGGUGCUCACCGAGGCCUGGCAGUCCUACAUGGCCGUGACGGGCCACCUCCGGAACCGCCUCAUCCGCAAGCGCUUCCUCUGCCUGGGCUGGGGGCUCCCUGCACUGGUUGUGGCCAUUUCCGUGGGAUUCACCAAGGCCAAAGGGUACAGCACCAUGAACUAGUGAACAUGGUCAUUGGGAUCCUGGUAUUCAACAAGCUCGUGUCCAAAGACGGCAUCACGGACAAGAAGCUGAAGGAGCGGGCAGGGGCCUCCCUGUGGAGCUCCUGCGUGGUGCUGCCGCUGCUGGCGCUGACCUGGAUGUCGGCCGUGCUCGCCGUCACCGACCGCCGCUCCGCCCUCUUCCAGAUCCUCUUCGCCGUCUUCGACUCGCUGGAGGGCUUCGUCAUCGUCAUGGUGCACUGUAUCCUCCGUAGAGAGGUCCAGGACGCUGUGAAAUGCCGUGUGGUUGACCGGCAGGAGGAGGGCAACGGGGACUCAGGGGGCUCCUUCCAGAACGGCCACGCCCAGCUCAUGACCGACUUCGAGAAGGACGUGGAUCUGGCCUGUAGAUCAGGUGAGCGCCCGACAGGUGAGAGGACGGUACCAGCCCAGCCCCCUGCACGGCCUCACUCCAUGCCUCCGCCUGUGCAUCACCCACAUCACCCAUCCCUGUCCACUCCUGCCGCCCCCACCCACACCCAGCCACACCGUCAGGCCCACCCAGACCCAGGGGACCUGCCCUGGGGGCCCAGCCAGGGCAGCGACCUUGGCCGCCAUGCCUCCCACCCCCGCCCACUCCCCGAGGCCAAAGGAGGGUCCAUGGGGCAUGAUCAGAAGCUUCCAGAACACUGCCCUGGCAUUCCUGCUGAGCGGUGCCUGUGGAGCCCCUGGCUGCCUCCCCUGCCCUCCUGGCAUCUUCUCUUCGUCCGUCGUGGCCCCAGCGAGGAGCAUAGCCCCACCCUAGUGCCCCUCCCCCCACCCACCUCCUGCCCGCCCCACUUUAGCACCUGUGUUCUGUGCCACCUUCAUUUCCUCAUUGCCAGUCCCAGCAGGGGGAGAAGUGAGUGGGGCUUUCAGGCUAGGGGGACAAUGGGGAGCAAGAGAAAGGCGGGGAGAAGGACCCACCAUGGAGCCCUCGGCCGGUGCUGAGCUUCCUGGAACCAAGUGCAAAAAAGGAAUGACUGCCCAAUAAAGGAAGCUCCGCCGCCC